rnacentral:rRNA from 1 species
GACGAACGCUGGCGGCGCGCUUAACACAUGCAAGUCGAACGGAAAGGCCCUGCUUUUGUGGGGCGCUCGAGGGGCAAACGGGUGAGUAACACGUGAGUAACCUGCCCUUGACUUUGGGAUAACUUCAGGUAACUGGGGCUAAUACCGGAUAGGCGCUCCUGCUGCAUGGUGGGGGUUGGAACGUUUCGGCUGUUGGGGAUGGACUCGCGGCUUAUCAGCUUGUUGGUGGGGUAGUGGCUUACCAAGGCUUUGACGGGUAGCCGGCCUGAGAGGGUGACCGGCCACAGUGGUACUGAGGUACGGCCCAGAAUCCACCGGGAGGCAGCAGUGGGGAAUGUUGCACAGUGAGCUGACGCCUGAUGCAGCGACGCCGCGUGCCGAAUGACGGCCUUCGGUUUGUAAUCCGCUUUCGCCUGUGACGAAGCUUGAGUGACGGUAAUGGGUAAAGAAGCACCGCCUAACUACGUG